rnacentral:rRNA from 1 species
UGCCCCAGUAACGGCGAGUGAAGCGGCAACAGCUCAAAUUUGAAAUCUGGCCCCCAGGCCCGAGUUGUAAUUUGCAGAGGAUGCUUUUGGUGAGGUCCCUACCGAGUCCCCUGGAAUGGGGCGCCACAGAGGGUGAGAGCCCCGUAUGGUAGGACGCCGAACCUUUGUAAAGCUCCUUCGACGAGUCGAGUAGUUUGGGAAUGCUGCUCUAAACGGGAGGUAAAUUUCUUCUAAAGCUAAAUAUUGGCCAGAGACCGAUAGCGCACAAGUAGAGUGAUCGAAAGAUGAAAAGCACUUUGAAAAGAGGGUUAAAAAGUACGUGAAAUUGUUGAAAGGGAAGCGCUUGUGACCAGACUUGUGCCGGGCGGAUCAUCCAGCGUUCUCGCUGGUGCACUCCGUCCGGCUCAGGCCAGCAUCGGUUUUCGCCGGGGGACAAAGGCUUCGGGAACGUGGCUCCUCUCGAGGAGUGUUAUAGCCCGUUGCGUAAUACCCCGGCGGGGACCGACGACCGCGCUUCGGCAAGGAUGCUGGCGUAAUGGUCAUCAGCGACCCGUCUUGAAACACGGACCGAGGAGUCAAGCAUUAGUGCGAGUGUUUGGGUGUAAAACCCGCACGCGUAAUGAAAGUAAACGUAGGUGAGAGCUUCGGCGCAUCAUCGACCGAUCCUGAUGUUUUCGGAUGGAUUUGAGUAGGAGCAUUAACGCUUGGACCCGAAAGAUGGUGAACUAUACUUGAAUAGGGUGAAGCCA